rnacentral:SRP_RNA from 1 species
GCCAGGUGCAGUGGUGCGCACUUGCAGUCCUAGCUACUGGGGAGGUGAGGCAGGAGGAUCACUCAAGUCUAGGAGUUCCAGGCUGUUGUGCACUAUGACAAUCAGGUGUCUGCACCAAGUUCAGCAUCAACACAGUGACCUUCAGGAAGUGCCAGCAUACCAGGCCGGUUGCAUAGGAGGCAACUGGCAGAGCAAGUCAACGCUCCUAUGCUGAGCAGUAGCUGGAUCUUGCCCCUGAGCAGCCCCUGCUCUCCUGCCUGUGCAACACAGUGAGACCCUGUCUCU